rnacentral:rRNA from 1 species
AACGAACGCUGGCGGCAGGCUUAACACAUGCAAGUCGAACGCCCCGCAAGGGGAGUGGCAGACGGGUGAGUAACACGUGGGAACGUGCCCAAAGGUACGGAACAACUCCGGGAAACUGGAGCUAAUACCGUAUGUGCCCGAAAGGGGAAAGAUUUAUCGCCUUUGGAUCGGCCCGCGUCUGAUUAGCUAGUUGGUGGGGUAAUGGCCCACCAAGGCGACGAUCAGUAGCUGGUCUGAGAGGAUGAUCAGCCACACUGGGACUGAGACACGGCCCAGACUCCUACGGGAGGCAGCAGUGGGGAAUAUUGGACAAUGGGCGCAAGCCUGAUCCAGCCAUGCCGCGUGAGUGAUGAAGGCCUUAGGGUUGUAAAGCUCUUUUGUCCGGGAGGAUAAUGACCGUACCGGAAGAAUAAGCUCCGGCUAACUUCGUG